CUUCGUGACUCGGAGUUCAUUCAUCAUCGACAAUGGCUUCGGCGGGCGCACGAGUACUGCACCUACCAGGCUACCAUCCACUUUAGCGCCGUUGGCCAACCGAUUUAGAUACACUUUAUCUUACUCUAAAGUGUGUUUUAAUUCGAUGCAGCUCGGGACCACUCUACCAGCAAGAAAGCCUGUGGUUAGAGCUGCUAGAACUGAGUCCAAAGCUUCCAGAGUCACUUCCUGGGAAAGUGUGGAAAUUGGAAUACUUCGAAUCACAUCUUGAUAUACCGUAGGUGAUUUCUCCAACAUAUAAAGCUCCUCACAGGAUGGAUCACAAUUCAUGGCAGUAGAAGCAAAGCUGCUUAACUAUUUCUUUCCAUAUUUAUGUGAUGAGUGCUACAUUCUUGUUGAUGCGCAUACAGAGCCUCUAUUAAUCGCAUUUGGUGUAAAAAUUGCUAGUGCCAUCAAUUCAGAUACCUGAACCCAGAGUGUUGGAUGCAGCAUAAAGUGGCCUCUGGGACAAAUUGGCGAUCUGUAAUCUCUAGUUUGAACUUCUUUGAGACAAAUCAAUGAAGAAAUUAUUUCUUUCAGUGUUGAGUAUUUUCAUUUGGAUGACGGCUGUCAGAUGAAAAUUUCUGGUUUGCCUGUUCUGAUGGUCCUUUAUUCCAACAAUCAGUUCUGCAAUGCCCAUUUAGAUACUCCUGCAACCUACUCUCACUCUUUGAGGUUUUUGAUAAAUGUUGAUAUCUUCUUAUAUGCUUCGAGAUGGACUACAAAUGGAUUCUAAUUCAGAUGCACUACGAAUAAAUGUGAAGGCUGGUAUUAUGGGUACAUAAACCCUAACAUGAAGGCAAUUAUUGUUCUAACACAUCCGGGGUUUUGGUAUUGCAUGAGUUAUUCUUGGGAUCUUUUAAAAAUUCUUGGGAUCUUUUUAUGUCUUUGGGCGAAUGUAAUCGUUCUGAAUGAGAUAAUUUUCAUGAUUUUCUUUUAGCUUUUACUAGCUCUUAGUUUGUAUUUAGGUAUUUU